rnacentral:sRNA from 1 species
UUUGGCUUAUGGUUCUGCAGGCUGUACAAGAAGCAUGCUGCCAACAUCUGCAUCUGAUAUCCUUGGUGGAUGAAUUAAAAACCUGGUGCAUGUUAAAGAUUCAGAAUCUGGAGCAGAAGCUUUCUGGAGAUUCUAGGGCCUGCAGAGCUAAAUCCACACCAUCUACUUGCGAGUCCUCUACAGGUAACCCACACACAGAGAGCCCUUUUGUCCAAAAGGAACACGACCAGCAGCUCUUGUACUCUCCUGCACUGAAAGGCAGUACGUAUGCUAGGGCUGUGGGAAACACUGGAUGGUAAAGUGCACUCUGUAGGGGCAAGGACUAUAUUUUGCUCGUAACCGUAUACUCAGUUGCUAUAUAAUAAUAAAGCACUCAUUUAUGUGCUCAAACUUAUUUGAAUAAAGGAAUUAAAGAAUUGUU